CUUCCACGCGCCGAUCCAGGCGUGGGGCGAAUAACCGCUGCGCGGGAUAGACGGCGGAUAACGCCGUUGGCGUUAUGCGCCCUACCUGUCCCGGACGACGAAAGAAGCCGCACUUCCAGGCGCCAAUCCGGGCGUAGGGCGGAUAACCGCUGCGCGGGAUAAACGGCGGAUAACGCCGUUGGCGUUAUGCGCCCUACCUGUCCCGGACGACGAAAGAAGCCGCACUUCCAGGCGCCAAUCCGGGCGUAGGGCGAAUAACCGCUGCGCGGUUAUCCGCCGGUGCGCGAUCGAUAGCCUGGCU
rnacentral:sRNA from 1 species